rnacentral:rRNA from 1 species
CAGCAGCCGCGGUAAUACGGAGGGUGCAAGCGUUGUCCGGAUUUAUUGGGUUUAAAGGGUGCGUAGGCGGUUUAUUAAGUCAGUGGUGAAAGACGGUCGCUCAACGAUUGCAGUGCCAUUGAUACUGGUAGACUUGAGUGGGAUUGAGGUAGCUGGAAUGGAUAGUGUAGCGGUGAAAUGCAUAGAUAUUAUCCAGAACACCAAUUGCGUAGGCAAGUUACUAAGUCUCAACUGACGCUGAGGCACGAAAGUGUGGGUAUCAAACAGGAUUAGAUACCCUGGUAGUCCACACUGUAAACGAUGAUAACUAACUGUUGGCUUUCGGGUCAGUGGUACAGAGAAAUCGUUAAGUUAUCCACCUGGGGAGUACGCCGGCAACGGUGAAACUCAAAGGAAUUGACGG